rnacentral:misc_RNA from 1 species
UGUAAACAUCAGGCAUUGACUAUGUAAAUAUUAUCCCAAUGGAGGGCGCUUCUUUAUAAGGCUCAUGUAUAUACGUCGAACCACUGGACGCAAUUAAUUCAGAUGAGCGUCACAGGUGGCGUUUUUUCAACGUUAGUGGAUCAGUGGCGCAGCUGUCUCGCGGUGCAAGAUUAUGGAAACAGACUAUCCAAGCGUUAUUCUACCGUGAGUUCGCCAACGAUUCGUUCAUCCAUCUUCUAAACUCGAUCGAAGGGACAUAAAGGAACGUCGAGAGAAAUCCAAGGGCCCUGUACGUUCGAUUUCGCAGGAACUUCGUUUAACCCUGAUAAUCGUCGAAUACAAAGCUUUGGAAUCAUCGACGAAGAUGGAAAUCUCGUGCGGAAUCUUAAAAAGAACCGAGAAUCUCUUGGAAAAGUAUUGGACUGAUUCGAUCGGAAUUAUUCUCC